ACGUGCGACUGACGGAUCAGUGGAAUUAACCACAGGGAGCACGAUACAAUUUGAAGCCGACCGUCUGGGCACCGC
rnacentral:ncRNA from 1 species